rnacentral:rRNA from 1 species
AUGGCGCCACCGCGAGCGCACCUCCUCCUCUUCCUCCUCGCCGCCGCCGCUGGCGCCGCCGCGGUGACCGCGGACGGGGUCGACCCCGGCGCCGGCCUCCCCCUUCUCGCGUUCCCAGCACCUCCUCCGCCGCCGGCGGUUCCCGCGCCGCCGCCCGGCCCGCUCCACACGGUGGCCGUGGCGCUGGCGGCCACCGUGGCGGUUGCCUGUUUCUUCGCCAUCAUCGCUUGCGCCGUCGUCUGCAUCCGCCGCCGCCGCCGAGCGAACGGCCAGGGCGAGCCGCUUCCCUUCUUCCGCUGCGACCUGGAGAUGGCGCGCGGCUGA